rnacentral:rRNA from 1 species
GCUUGUCUCAAAGAUUAAGCCAUGCAUGUCUAAGUAUAAGCGACUUAUACGGCGAAACUGCGAAUGGCUCAUUAAAUCAGUUAUUGUUUACUUGAUCAGUAUCUUUUGAUUACUUGGAUAACCGUAGUAAUUCUAGAGCUAAUACAUGCGCAAAAGGCCCGACUUCGCGGAAGGGCUGCACUUAUUAGAUGCAAAUCAACACGGCGGGUCCCCCCGUCGGUUAUGUUGGUGAUUCUGGAUAAUUAAGCGAAUCGCACGGUCUUGUACUGGCGAUGGAUCGAUCAAGUUUCUGCCCUAUCAACUUUGGAUGGUAGUGUAUUGGACUACCAUGGUUAUUACGGGUGACGGAGAAUUAGGGUUCGGUUCCGGAGAGGGAGCCUGAGAGACGGCUACCACUUCCAAGGAAGGCAGCAGG